GCCGAAGUGGCGGAACUGGCAGACGCACCGGACUCAAAAUCCGGCGGGCAGCGAUGCUCGUGAGGGUUCGAUUCCCUCCUUCGGCACCA
rnacentral:tRNA from 1 species